UUUAAAGGUGGUUUUAAACUUUUAGUGUAAUUAUAGAAGUAUGGAUUUUUGAUUCCAUAUAAAUUGCUGUUUAUAUAUGUGAAUUCAAGAGGGGAGAAUUUGUAUGUGGAUGUAAUAAGUAGGGGUGGCUUUGAGAAGGUUUGGCUAUCUAUUUUAUCUGUCGUUCUUAAUUUCACUAAAUUAAAAAUGAAUUAUUAAUUUUUCACUUUUAAAAUAAAAGAUAAAAGAAAAUCAUAUGUACUUAAUUAUAUAUAUAAUGUGUGUAGGUAGUUCCAGAGAAGAAUUGGAGGGAGUGGGAGGUGUUUUCAUAUUCUCCCCAACAAGCAGCGCUUUGUUUGUGCUGAGGAAACACUGCUCAACUCUUCUCUACCUUUACGAACGGGUUCACUUUUUUAGGCACAGGGUCCUUUAUCUACCCCCACACCCUCACCCUCACCCUCAGAGAAACCAGAACUAGCGCUAUAGGAAUAUUCUCCCAAAGGCAAAGGGGCCAAAGGGACCGAACCCAUAAAUGGUUGUCGGCUUUUGGUCACUGUUGAAGAUAUAGAAACCACUGUGUCAUGCAUGGUCUCUGCAAGAGGCGGUCUAUAGAUCCAUAAAAAUAUACCAGAUUGCCUGGUGUCGUGUCGAGUGAAGGCUUUGCGUGAUUGGACAGACUUUGCUUUGCAUGAUUGAGAAGAUAAUGUGAAGGCUUUGUUUCGCCAAGACCAGACCUAUAUGACACUCAAUGACAUCGAUGCUGCAGUUGAAAGCUUCCAGAAGUUGGAACCAAAUGAUGGAUGGACGAAUAAGUUAUGAGGAGUUUGCCGCAAUGAUGAAGGCUGGGACAGAUUGGAGGAAAAGCAUCAAGGCAGUAUUCAUCAGAUCGGUUCAAGAGUCUCGGUUUGAAAUUGAUUAGGGAUGGAUCAUUGGAAGGUAAAACGGAUAGUACAUAACUUUGGAGGAUCGACACAAGGUACUUGUGGGGGAGAUGCAUAUCCAGGAAAGAACCUUUAUUUUAUUUUUAUUUUUUUUGUUGUGUUAUGUAAUACUUUUUCAUUUUUCGUCAUAUUAGACCGUUUUGUGACUAUUAGGAUACGAGCCAAGGGUGUUCAUGUCUUGGUGAACGGGGAUGCAUGUAACGUAAUUGUAACCAAAAUUUGACAUGAAAAUACUACAAUUCUUAUCCAUUGUGUGCAGUCAUUCUCUUUAGAUCGUUUUUGUGAGCGAUGUGAGAAAUUUUUUCAAUUUGUUUUUUCUAAUCACGAGGCCCAUCCAGCUACCUCAAGCAUCACAACAUUGAAACCUGUAAUCCAUCCACACAACCUUUUGUAUUGCAUAUAAUCGGAGGCAUCAAAUAGCAAAAUUAUUAAAA